rnacentral:rRNA from 1 species
UACGGGGGGGGCAAGCGUUGUUCGGAAUUACUGGGCGUAAAGGGCUCGUAGGUGGCCAACUAAGUCAGACGUGAAAUCCCUCGGCUUAACCGGGGAACUGCGUCUGAUACUGGAUGGCUUGAGUUUGGGAGAGGGAUGCGGAAUUCCAGGUGUAGCGGUGAAAUUCGUAGAUAUUCGCAAGAACACCAGUGGCGAAGGCGGCUCACUGGCCCGGUACUGACGCUGAGGUGCGAAAGCGUGGGGAGCAAACAGG